CCGAACUCGGUUCUCCACGAUACCAUUUCUUUAAGCUGAAUAAUACUAAAUAAUAAUACAUUCGAACUUAAUUUACAUACAUCAAAGUUUACUUCCCCAGGUACGUGACCUUCAAAUACAUUCCUUACAAUAUCUGACAAUAGAUUCCAUUGUCUUACUAACUAUAACCAUUAACUCAUACUAAAUCUCAUUCGAAUAGCUUUUCUUUUCCCUUGUUCGUGCCUGAGCCUUCAGGUCGAUCGUACGUAACUGAAAACAUUUAGUUUAAGCAAGGAUGAGCAUUUGAGUGCCCAGCAAGUAAUAGCAAUUAUAUAUAUAAGCUGAAAGAAUAUAAGUAUUCUCUUUACAUAACACUUCUACAACGAAUCAAAAGUUGUGAAGUAAUCUGUACUGAUAAAAGAUUCACAUAACAACUCUCUUUCAAUUUCUUGAAAUUAGGCUCCACCCAUGAAUAGGGUUUAAGAAACAUACUAUGAACAUGGUUUUUCAUUUUCGAAAAGGUUUAGCAGAAAUUCAUCCGCAAACCGUCAUAACUUACGGGCACGGAGGGUGAUCAGCCCCGUUGUACCCUGUAUUGAUCAAUACUACAUAACUUGAACGAAAUUCAUCGCUCACCCUUUGUCCGCCGAAGCGCAUAAAAAUUUUCCCAUUAUCGGGAUGUUCAUACAUGCCUGGUUCCAAACCCGAAGGUUUUUAAUCUUGCUCAACAAUAAUAUGUAAUUCAACAUAUAUGUAUACGGGUAAUUGACAAAGGUAUAUCAACAUGUGAAUAAAUGCCAUGAUUAUCCAAGUGGGGACACUUGUAUAACCAUUUAGAAAUCAACUUAACAGAAUAUAUAUCUGAGCUAACAUGUUGAUAAUCAAAGCGUACAUAAUCUGUACAGGAAUAGAAUAAUUCUGAAACUUCUUA
rnacentral:lncRNA from 1 species